rnacentral:rRNA from 1 species
GUCCCACCUGACCCCAUGCCGAACUCAGAAGUGAAACGCCGUAACGCCGAUGGUAGUGUGGGGCUUCCCCAUGUGAGAGUAGGUCACCGCCAGGU